rnacentral:rRNA from 1 species
GACGAACGCUGGCGGCGUGCUUAACACAUGCAAGUCGAACGAUGAAGCCGGAGCUUGCUCUGGUGAAUUAGUGGCGAACGGGUGAGUAACACGUGAGUAACCUGCCCUUGACUCUGGGAUAACUGCGGGAAACUGUAGCUAAUACCGGAUACGACCCUCGGAGGCAUCUCCUGGGGGUGGAAAGAAUUUCGGUCAAGGAUGGACUCGCGGCCUAACAGCGAGUUAGUGAGGUAAAGGCUCACCAAGGCGACGACGGGUAGCCGGCCAGAGAGGGUGACCGGCCACACUGGGACUGAGACACGGCCCAGACUCCUACGGGAGGCAGCAGUGGGGAAUAUUGCACAAUGGGCGCAAGCCUGAUGCAGCAACGCCGCGUGAGGGAUGACGGCCUUCGGGUUGUAAACCUCUUUUAGCAGGGAAGAAGCGAAAGUGACGGUACCUGCAGAAAAAGCACCGGCUAACUACGUGCCAGCCGCCGCCGUAA